GUAGAUUUGAGUGUUUGGGAGCCUUAAUCCAUCUUCCUUCUGCAGAAGUUUGUGAAGACAGUUUUGGAGAUGGUUACUGGCUACAGUCACUCCAGAUACAGGCAUCCUUGAGCAUGGGAAUCCUAAAAUAAUCCAGACUACUGAGCCCAGUGAUCCAGUGUUAUGCUUGGAGGGGCUAUGACAGGUGUGGAUGUCCAGAAAGAAAGACAGAAGGAGAAAAUCUACAGGCAGAAACAGGGAGGACAGUGGGCAAAUUGUGGUAAUGUUUCCCAUCUAGAACAUCGCUGAGGUAAGUGAAAUUUAAGUAAGUGAACGGUGCCAGAAUAAAAGUUACCAGCUCCUUUUCCA
rnacentral:lncRNA from 1 species